rnacentral:miRNA from 1 species
AGUGGGAAGAUGAGAGGGGAGGAUGGGAGGGAGGAGUAACAAAAGUGAAAACAAAAACUAAAAACUGAAAUCUAUUUGAAAUUGUUUUCACUUUCAAGUUUUUGUUUUCACUUUUGUUACUCCCCCCGCUCCAAUCCUCCCCUCUCAUCCUCUCUCUC